rnacentral:rRNA from 1 species
UACGAAGGGGGGCUAGCGUUGCUCGGAAUUACUGGGCGUAAAGGGCGCGUAGGCGGACAGUUAAGUUGGGGGUGAAAGCCCGGGGCUCAACCUCGGAAUUGCCUUCAAUACUGGCUGUCUUGAGUGUGAGAGAGGUGUGUGGAACUCCGAGUGUAGAGGUGAAAUUCGUAGAUAUUCGGAAGAACACCAGUGGCGAAGGCGACACACUGGCUCACUACUGACGCUGAGGCGCGAAAGCGUGGGGAGCAAACAGG